rnacentral:rRNA from 1 species
GUGCCAGCCGCCGCGGUAAUACGGAGGAUGCAAGCGUUAUCCGGAUUCAUUGGGUUUAAAGGGUGCGCAGGCGGACCUGUAAGUCAGGGGUGAAAGCCUCCCGCUUAACGGGAGAUUGGCCUUUGAUACUGCAGGUCUUGAGUCUAGCUGAGGUAGGCGGAAUGUAGUAUGUAGCGGUGAAAUGCAUAGAUAUACUACGGAACACCCAUUGCGAAGGCAGCUUACCAAACUAGCACUGACGCUCAGGCACGAAAGCGUGGGUAGCAAACAGGAUUAGAUACCCCGGUAGUCC